rnacentral:rRNA from 1 species
AACGAACGCUGGCGGCAUGCCUAACACAUGCAAGUCGAACGAGACCUUCGGGUCUAGUGGCGCACGGGUGCGUAACGCGUGGGAACCUGCCCUUAGGUUCGGAAUAACUCCCCGAAAGGGGUGCUAAUACCGGAUAAUGUCUUCGGACCAAAGAUUUAUCGCCUUUGGAUGGGCCCGCGUUGGAUUAGCUAGUUGGUAGGGUAAAAGCCUACCAAGGCGACGAUCCCUAGCUGGUCUGAGAGGAUGAUCAGCCACACUGGGACUGAGACACGGCCCAGACCUCUACGGGAGGCAGCAGUGGGGAAUAUUGGACAAUGGGCGAAAGGCUGAUCCAGCAAUGCCGCGUGAGUGAUGAAGGCCUUAGGGUUGUAAAGCUCUUUUACCCGGGAUGAUAAUGACAGUACCGGGAGAAUAAGCUCCGGCUAACUCCGAG